GGGUGGUAAUGCCGGAUGCUCCGACUCCUCGCAUGGGGUGUCGGGAAAGAUUUCAUCGGUAUGGGAUGGGGUCGCGUCCUAUCAGGUAGUCGGCGGGGUAACGGCCCACCGAGCCUACGACGGGUAGCCGGCCUGAGAGGGCGACCGGCCACAUUGGGACUGAGAUACGGCCCAGACUCCUACGGGAGGCAGCAGUGGGGAAUAUUGCACAAUGGGCGCAAGCCUGAUGCAGCGACGCCGCGUGCGGGAUGACGGCCUUCGGGUUGUAAACCGCUUUUGAUCGGGAGCAAGCCUUCGGGUGAGUGUACCUUUCGAAUAAGCACCGGCUAACUACGUGCCAGCAGCCGCGGUAAUACGUAGGGUGCAAGCGUUAUCCGGAAUUAUUGGGCGUAAAGGGCUCGUAGGCGGUUCGUCGCGUCCGGUGUGAAAGUCCAUCGCUUAACGGUGGAUCUGCGCCGGGUACGGGCGGGCUGGAGUGCGGUAGGGGAGACUGGAAUUCCCGGUGUAACGGUGGAAUGUGUAGAUAUCGGGAAAGAACACCA
rnacentral:rRNA from 1 species